CAGCUGAGUCAGAGGUUUCGGCAUAGAGUCAUCCAGCUCAGCGAGGUCCACGCCAGACUCAGUCCCAUCAGGCUCGACCUCCCCUCGCCACUUAUGCUAGGAGGAUGAGGACUAGAUCACAGCCAUUAGAUACCCCCUAGGCUGAUGUUAGCACUUUUGGUAUUAGUGCCUAGGAUUUAUCUAGUUCUCAUAUGUAUUUUGUGUUGAUCACUACUUUGCACUUUGAUUGAAGAACAUUGUAUUUUUGUGUUAAUGUACUACAAUGUUCCAUGUUUGAUCAGUAAAAUCUGA
rnacentral:lncRNA from 1 species